rnacentral:rRNA from 1 species
UACGAAGGGGGCUAGCGUUGCUCGGAAUCACUGGGCGUAAAGGGUGCGUAGGCGGGUCUUUAAGUCGGGGGUGAAAUCCUGGAGCUCAACUCCAGAACUGCCUUCGAUACUGAAGAGCUUGAGUCCGGGAGAGGUGAGUGGAACUGCGAGUGUAGAGGUGAAAUUCGUAGAUAUUCGCAAGAACACCAGUGGCGAAGGCGGCUCACUGGCCCGGUACUGACGCUGAGGUGCGAAAGCGUGGGGAGCAAACAGG